rnacentral:rRNA from 1 species
UACGUAUGGUGCAAGCGUUGUCCGGAAUUAUUGGGCGUAAAGAGCUCGUAGGCGGUUUGUCGCGUCUGCUGUGAAAACCCGAGGCUCAACCUCGGGCCUGCAGUGGGUACGGGCAGACUAGAGUGCGGUAGGGGAGAUUGGAAUUCCUGGUGUAGCGGUGGAAUGCGCAGAUAUCAGGAGGAACACCGAUGGCGAAGGCAGAUCUCUGGGCCGUAACUGACGCUGAGGAGCGAAAGCAUGGGGAGCGAACAGG